rnacentral:rRNA from 1 species
CACGUAGGCACCAAGCGUUGUCCGGAUUUAUUGGGCGUAAAGAGUUCGUAGGCGGUUCAGUAAGUCGGGUGUGAAAACUCUGGGCUCAACCCAGAGACGCCACCCGAUACUGCUGUGACUUGAGUACGGUAGGGGAGUGGGGAAUUCCUGGUGUAGCGGUGAAAUGCGCAGAUAUCAGGAGGAACACCAGUGGCGAAGGCGCCACUCUGGGCCGUAACUGACGCUGAGGAGCGAAAGCGUGGGUAGCAAACAGG